rfam:Serratia marcescens subsp. marcescens Db11, complete genome
UAGCGCAUUGGGAGCUGUAACUCAAGGGCGGUAGCGUG